rnacentral:rRNA from 1 species
UGCCAGCAGCCGCGGUAAUACGAAGGGGGCAAGCGUUGUCCGGAUUUACUGGGCGUAAAGGGCGUGUAGGCGGAUGAUCAAGUUAGGAGUGAAAGCCCCGGGCUCAACCUGGGAAUUGCUUUUAAGACUGAUUGUCUAGAGUACGAGAGAGGGUCGUGGAAUUCCCAGUGUAGAGGUGAAAUUCGUAGAUAUUGGGAAGAACACCAGCGGCGAAGGCGGCGGCCUGGCUCUGUACUGACGCUGAGGCGCGAAAGCGUGGGGAGCGAACAGGAUUAGAAACCCCAGUAGUCC